rnacentral:rRNA from 1 species
AUGCCAAACCCUAGAGAGGUUGACAGAGCUCUUUUUGUGGAACAUGUUAGACUUAAACAAUGUGGAUUUUCCCCCUGGUCUGAAGAUAUUGAUUCUGAAGGACUUAUGGAAGUUGCCUGGGUCAGAAUUGGCAAGAUCCCACCUAACAAAAGAUCUGAUAAAGUUGUAGCCUAUGUGGGGGGACUGGUUGGAAUCACUCUGGAGGUGGAUAUGGCGACCAUUAAUCGCCCUUCCUCUGUCAGAGCAAAAAUAGGGUGCAGAUCUGUAUCCCAACUGCCUGUUACUGCGGAAGGAGUACUUGGGGGACGCUUCUAUAAAUUCACCUAUGAAAUUAAAGAGGUUCUUGUUAAAAACCCUGUUAAUGAGGAGCCUGUGGAUCCUGUUGCUGAUGACAAAGCUAAUCCUGAAUACACUCCUAAAAGGAAACGUGCUGAUCAGGAGAAAAAAGAGAGCCCACCUGAUGAACAUUGA